rnacentral:rRNA from 1 species
AGCGAACGCUGGCGGCAGGCCUAACACAUGCAAGUCGAACGAACCUUUCGGGGUUAGUGGCGGACGGGUGAGUAACACGUGGGAACGUGCCUUUAGGUUCGGAAUAACUCAGGGAAACUUGUGCUAAUACCGAAUGUGCCCUUCGGGGGAAAGAUUAAUCGCCUUUAGAGCGGCCCGCGUCUGAUUAGCUAGUUGGUUGAGGUAAUGGCUCACCAAGGCGACGACCAGUAGCUGGUCUGAGAGGAUGACCAGCCACAUUGGGACUGAGACACGGCCCAAACUCCUACGGGAGGCAGCAGUGGGGAAUCUUGCGCAAGGGGCGAAAGCCUGACGCAGCCAUGCCGCGUGAAUGAUGAAGGUCUUAGGAUUGUAAAAUUCUGUCACCGGGGACGAUAAUGGCGGUACCGGGAGUAGAAGCCCCGGCUAACUUCGUG